GAUGAAGAACGUAGCGAAAUGCGAUAAGUAAUGUGAAUUGCAGAAUUCAGUGAAUCAUCGAAUCUUUGAACGCACAUUGCGCCCGCCAGUAUUCUGGCGGGCAUGCCUGUUCGAGCGUCAUUUCAACCAUCAAGCCCUGCUUGCGUUGGGGUCCUGCGGCUGCCCGCAGGCCCUGAAAACCAGUGGCGGGCUCGCUGGUCACACCGAGCGCAGUAAUACAUCUCGCUUUGGGCGUGCGGCGGGUUCUUGCCGUUAAACACCCCCUUUUUACCAAGGUUGACCUCGGAUCAGGUAGGAAUACCCGCUGAACUUAAGCAUAUCAAUAAGCGGAGGA
rnacentral:misc_RNA from 1 species